UACGUAGGGGGCAAGCGUUGUCCGGAAUCAUUGGGCGUAAAGAGCGUGUAGGCGGCCCGGUAAGUCCGCUGUGAAAGUCUAGGGCUCAACCCUGGAAUGCCGGUGGAAACUGUCGGGCUAGAGUCCGGAAGAGGCGAGUGGAAUUCCUGGUGUAGCGGUGAAAUGCGCAGAUAUCAGGAAGAACACCCGUGGCUAAGGCGGCUCUCUAGUACGGUACUGACGCUGAGACGCGAAAGCGUGGGGAGCGAACAGG
rnacentral:rRNA from 1 species